rnacentral:rRNA from 1 species
CCUACGGGUGGCAGCAGUGAGGAAUAUUGGUCAAUGGGCGGAAGCCUGAACCAGCCAAGUAGCGUGCAGGAUGACGGCCCUACGGGUUGUAAACUGCUUUUAUACGGGAAUAACGCGCCUUACGUGUAGGGCUUUGCAUGUACCGGAUGAAUAAGGACCGGCUAAUUCCGUGCCAGCAGCCGCGGUAAUACGGAAGGUCCGAGCGUUAUCCGGAUUUGUUGGGUUUAAAGGGAGCGUAGGCCGCAUGUCAAGCGCGCUGUGAAAUGUCCGGGCUCAACCCGGGCCUUGCAGCGCGAACUGGCGUGCUUGAGUCGGCGGAAAGCAGGCGGAAUGCGUGGUGUAGCGGUGAAAUGCUUAGAUAUGACGAAGAGCCCCGAUUGCGAAGGCAGCUUGCGGCAGCGGAACUGACGCUGAUGCUCGAAAGCGCGGGUAUCGAACAGGAUUAGAUACCCGAGUAGUC